CGUAAUAACUACGUCGCCAACUAUGUAUAAAUACAGCGAUAUUUUCCCGCAAGCUAGGGAUCUACACGAGUUAUUAGGUACAGGAUCCAUCCGACCGUACCAUGUCCGCUGUGAAAUUUGCAUUCGUCAUAAUGUUUGCAGUCACUGUUAUCCUGAAAAAUAUCUCAAGCACCAAUGCCAAUAGCUGUUCGUCAAGAGAAAGCAACGUAUUUGCCAUUUCAGUCGUUUCAACAAAUCCAAUUGUUCAUGUAGGGUCCCCGGGAGUGAUCUAUCGUUGCUCAUAUGUUGGCGACUCUGUGUGCGGACAAGGAUGCACAUGUACCUUUAUGCCUCGCCCCCCGGUAUUUUUCUGCAGUGAUUCAACUAAACAGUGACAUGAAUAGAACGUACCAUAUAUGACGUACUUAUGUUUAGGAAAACUGAGGCAAUAAAGAUUGCUGCCAGU
rnacentral:lncRNA from 1 species